AUUGAACGCUGGCGGCAGGCCUAACACAUGCAAGUCGAACGAGUGGCGGACGGGUGAGUAAUGUCUGGGAAACUGCCCGAUGGAGGGGGAUAACUACUGGGAACGGUGGCUAAUACCGCAUACUAUCGGAUGAACCCAGAGGGGAUGAGCUAGUAGGUGGGGUAAUGGCUCACCUGGGCGACGAUCCCUAGCUGGUCUGAGAGGAUGACCAGCCACACUGGAACGCAGACAGGGUCCAGACUCCUACGUGGGGCAGCGGUGGGGAAUAUGGCACAUGGGGCGCAAGCCUGAUGCAGCCAUGCCGCGUGUAUAAAGAAGGCCGUGGGGUUGUAAAGUACUUUCAGCGAGGAGGCGUUACUCGCAGAGGAAGCACCGGCUAACUCCGUGCCAGCAGCCGCGGUAAUUC
rnacentral:rRNA from 1 species